CGGACGGGUGAGUAACGCGUGGGUAACCUGCCUUGUACUGGGGGACAACAGUUGGAAACGACUGCUAAUACCGCAUAAGCGCACAGCUUCGCAUGAAGCAGUGUGAAAAACUCCGGUGGUACAAGAUGGACCCGCGUCUGAUUAGCUGGUUGGUGAGGUAACGGCCCACCAAGGCGACGAUCAGUAGCCGGCCUGAGAGGGUGAACGGCCACAUUGGGACUGAGACGCGGCCCAA
rnacentral:rRNA from 1 species